CAGAUGCACCAUAGCCAAGCUGACUUAGAAGCAAAACCCAGUCCUUCUGGAGAGGCUUUGAACAAUGUUUCCCCACCCAGAGCCGCAGCCUGGGCUGAGGCAGAAAUGCAGCAGUGUGUGUGGUACACGGGGAGAGACCUGUAAUCCAGAGGAGGGGGCAGGAGACAGCCAGAUUGCUUCUCAUGGAACUGCAGAUAGACACCUAGGCUCCUGCAGGCUCCUCUCCUGGCAACAGGACCCCUGUGAAUGCCAGAUCCGCAUGGCAAAUCCGCAGCCUCCUCACAUCCUCUGCAGAAGCUUCUGCCUGGAGUCCCAGCUCCAGGAAGACAGUGGCAGGAACAUCUCUUGAGCCCAGGAGUCAUAAGACCAGCUUGGACAACAUUGUGAGACCCUCAUGCCAGAGGAGUAGAUGAAUAAACAAAAAAGCAAACAAAGAAAUGAAGUAAGGUAUCUUUUUGAAAUGACCUGUACAUAUUCUCCUGUAUGUUUUAAAUCACCUCUAACAUUGAACGCAUAUUAUGUUAUAUAACACUCAAUGCAAUGUAAAUGCUGUGUAAACUGCUGCUCUUCUGUAUAUUUUAGAGAAAACAGGCAAGAAGCCUGUGGCUAUUCAGUGUAGAUGUGGCCAUGGUAGGUCUAACUACUUCUCCUACCCACAGCUGUUUGAGUCCUUGGGCUUCAUAGAUGGAAGCUGACCCCUAUCCUUGAGAAGCGGUGUGAGCAGCUGCGGGCGGCUCAGUGGCUUUGGGAUAAGAGACUUCAGUGUGGGGAAACUUUCCAGGCCCGGCCACACCACCUGGAGGACCCAAAGCAGAGUGAGAAACCCCAUCCACAAACACGGGAGUAUCUUCUGCUGUUUGGGGCAAGUGUGAUGCUUCAGUGACAAUCACAGCCUUGUGGGGCCUCGGUCACUUCCCCAGUAGCUUCAUCUCCACGGUGGGCAUAACCCUGCUGGGUACUUUCCGCCGAAGUAUGUUUGGGAGAAGCAGAGGUUGGAUCGGUUACCCGAGAUCUUAUCAGAUUUCUUAUGAAUUUUGUUCAGGCAGAAAGAUGCAGAAUAAAGCUGUCUGUUGAACUC